rnacentral:piRNA from 1 species
UAAUGCAACGAUUGGUUGUCGUUUUGAA